rnacentral:rRNA from 1 species
ACGCUCGACACCUACGGGAGGCAGCAGUUGGGAAUAUUGGACAAUGGAGGAAACUCUGAUCCAGUGACGCCGCGUGAAGGAAGAAGGUCUUCGGAUUGUAAACUUAUUUUGUCAGGGAAGAAAAAUGACUGUACCUGAAGAAAAGCACCGGCUAACUACGUGCCAGCAGCAGCGGUAAUCUGAGCGGGCUGGCAAGGC